UACGUAGGGGGCUAGCGUUGUCCGGAAUCAUUGGGCGUAAAGCGCGUGUAGGCGGUCCGGUAAGUCCGCUGUGAAAGUCGGGGGCUCAACCCUCGGAUGCCGGUGGAUACUGUCGGGCUUGAGUACGGAAGAGGCGAGUGGAAUUCCUGGUGUAGCGGUGAAAUGCGCAGAUAUCAGGAGGAACACCAAUUGCGAAGGCAGCUCGCUGGGACGUUACUGACACUGAGACGCGAAAGCGUGGGGAGCAAACAGG
rnacentral:rRNA from 1 species